UUCACAUCUCUUGUACUUGGGCUUUGUGGAACAUUUUCAAGCUUUGGGUCUAUAGUUUUCUUCAAACUUGGAAAAUUUUUGGCAUUAGUUUCUUCAAAUAAUUUUUUGUCACCUACUCUCUUUCAGAAGCUCAAAUUACAUGAGUAUUGGGCCAUUUGAAGUUGUCCCACAGCUCUUUUAAUUUUUAGUAAGCCUCUGCCUCUGGACUGUGAACUUCACAAGUGUUUCUUAGUUUUUUUCUCCUCCCUCCUCUUUAGGUGGGACAGGAUGGCUGGAGUGGGCUGGAGUUGGGUAUUUCCCUUCCUUCAGGUCAGUUAGGCUCUAAUAAUAUCCACCUGGUUAGGCUCUGUUAACUAGUUUCUCUUGAGGGCAGGCCUUAUUAAGAAGAGUGCUCUGGGAUGUUUAAAAAUGGUUCCUUUUCCUCUCUCCAUUCUAGACGUCUGAUGAGAUUUUUGUCAGCUAUUUACUGUGAGAACCUGGACGAGCUCCUGGAGGAAGAUCAAAGUGGUGUUUAGAGAAUGAUCAUGAAGUGAAUGCUGACUCCUUUCACGCCGUGACGAGUGUGAUGACUAAACAGGGGAGAAGACACUGAGUGCUGGGAGAUAUUCCAAAUAAACAAAGAUGUAAUAUAAAGGACAUCGAGCAGAUGGGGAUCUUUGGGAUGAAUCCUGGAUGCCCAGUGAAUUUCAGCAGUAGAAAAACAAUCCCUGAAGUCUACUGGGCCUUAGACACAUCCGUCUGCCUGAGUCAUAGCCUCUUGAUGUACAGAAUAUUGUUUUGGAAGGACAACUUUGUAGCUGAGCAGCAAGGCCUCCUGUCUUGGGAUAUGAGCUGAGACACUUUGGAAGAUUUCUACCACAACCGAGAGCAUAGCCCAGCAUGUCCCAGAUAGGGACUGCUCUCUAACCUGAGUCCCUGAAAGAAGACAUGAGGAGAGCAGCAGCUGACCAGUGAUAAGCCGAUGUGAGAAGACAAUCCACCUUUGUUUUUUACCUACUGAGAUUUUGAGGUUGUCUGUAAUUGCAUCAAUACUUACUCGAACCAUAAACAUUCUAUUCCGCAAAUGUAUUGGCCAUGGAAAUCUUUACUUGUUCAUUUAUUUUUAAUCUCAGAGAAUCUAGUGGGACAUGUUUCAUUGAAAACAUGGGGAAAUACUGGCUACUGGCUUAAAGUUAUUAACUGUGUUUUCUCUUAAAAUAUAUAUUUUUAAGAAAAAAAAGAAAUUGGUCCCUAAAUUUUUGAUCUUCAAAAUGCAGUAAAUGAAAUUAUCUUAGUUACGUUUCUAGACAAACUCUCUAGUAGCUUAACAAGUUGUAUGUCAUUACUACCACACAGUAACAUUAAUAGUAUUUAAAAUGUUUUUUGGAUUGUUUUGUAACUUUGCUUGGUUUUUGUUACACGUGUGACCUUAAAUUGGUUGUUUGUGGAUUUCCUUGUUGACUUUGGUGUGAUAAAAUCACAGUUAGGGAAAAACAGAAGAUCAAAUCUCUCACUCCAGCCCCUCUCAAUUUGAGUCAUGGAUGAAGAUUUCCAUUGUUAGGCUCAGAUGUGAGCUAACUCUGACUGGGAGAGGUAAAGAUAUGCAAGUAUCAGGAGUGUGCUGGUAAAUGUUUAACAACAGGCUCUUUCGGGAAAAAAAAAAGAAAGCCCUGAUUUGUAACAUUACCAAAUUUUCAAGGCAUAAAUACUCUUGCCAUAGCCAAUUUCAAGCUACUGUCUUAGUCACUGACCUGGAGUUGGGAAGAGAUGUGCACACUUACUGGCUCUCCUGACUGUUCAAGCCAGCUUCCCCACACCCUGGUAAAGAGCCUGAGCCUUCUAACUGAGGUCUGGAUUUCAUGGCGGUGUUGUUGAGAUGGUAUUUAUACAGUAAGCCUUGGAUACCCUCAAGUAUUAAGUGUUACAUCUCAUAUUUUUUUCAUACCACUUUUGCCAAAUAAAAAUGAGACAGCUUCUGUUCUGUUGCUUCUUUAUACUGUUUUGGUUUGGCUUCAAGUCCAGAGUCCUGUGGCAAAUCACAACCCCAUCUUCUAGAAACCCGACAGUGCUUGCUUUUGAAGCCCUCUUCCCUCUGGAGCUGAAUUCUCUACUUCCUACCUUCAACCACUCAUCCGUCUUUCUGUAAAUAGAUCAUCUGCCUAAGAUAUAGAUUCUUCUUCGCACCAUGUCUUCAAGAAUUGGUUCUUUCCACUCCUCAUUCGAUCCUACCAUUCCCUCCCUCCUGAAUUUAACUUUUACAGUCAUUGACACCUGUCCACAUCAGCUUUUAUUUGCCCAUCUGAACAUUUCAUCAGCCUGCCCCGUUAUCUUGUUGUAAUGAUACUACGUAUUUUCAUUAUCUUCGGUGACUGAGAUCAAAGUGUGCCUCACCCUAAGCUCCUGAAUUAUAACAAUAACUGUUGUGGGUAAAUGUAACAUAGAUGCUUUAGACCAUUUGAUUAAUACUUUUUAUUAAUGUAUUCAAAAGACUCAAGGCAAUUAAAAUCUCAUGUUUAUCAAAUUUUUAUGUAGUUGAAUUUCUGAGAUACAGUAUCAUCAUAAAUGUAAAAACAAUGCUAUUUGAAAGGUAUUUUGUGUAAAUUCUUGGUUUGGAAAACGAUGGGAAAGAAAAAAUAAUGAUAUACAUAAUAUAGGAGGUAAAAAUAUGAGUAAGUUCUCUCAAGAUUAUGUAAUCUGUUAUUUUCAAUUCUUGUCCAGUUAAUAUUAAAACUUUUCAUUAAAAUAAGAUAGCAAACAGGAGAC
rnacentral:lncRNA from 1 species